rnacentral:tRNA from 1 species
GUUUAUAUAGUUUAUACAAAACAUUACAUUUUCACUGUAAAAUUGAAAUUAUUUUCUAUAAAUU